UGUGGGAGCUGGCUUGCCUGCGAUAGCGGUCUAUCAGUGAAUGUGUGGGGGCUGAUCCACCGCUAUCGCAGGCAAGCCAGCUCCCACA
rnacentral:misc_RNA from 1 species